GUGCUCGCUUUGGCAGCACACAACACUAAAAUUGGACCGAUGCAGAGAAGACUAACAUGCCCUGGGCAAGGAUGGCACGUAGGCUUGGGAAUGCUUCCAUAGUUUA